AGGUUAUCUGAUCUGCACGGGAGUUUUGACCUGCUCCGUUUCCAACCUGGGCCAGUUUACCCCUCCUUAGGCAACCUGGUGGUCCCCCCCUCCCGGGAGGUCACCAUAUUGAUGCCGAACUUAGUGCGGACACCCGAUCGGAGAGCCUGCUUCUC